NNNNNNNNNNNNNNNNNNNNNNNNNNNNNNNNNNNNNNNNNNNNNNNNNNNNNNNNNNNNNNNNNNNNNNNNNNNNNNNNNNNNNNNNNNNNNNNNNNNNNNAAAAAAAAAAAAAAAAAAAGAAUAUUACUAUCAGUCACUCCUUGAUAUAACUGGAGAGCUGAGAUAACAUAACAGCUGUGGCACCGCUAUGGACUGGACCAGAGAGGGGACAGGAGGCUUCCCCAAGGACAGCUGUAGUUCAGUAAUCCAUUAACAAAAGUCUCCCUUCUAAAGUCUCCACCAUUUUUUUUUUUAAGACAGAGUCUCACUCUGUCACCCAGGCUGGAAAUGCAGUGGCGAGAUCUCAGCUCACUACAGCCUCUGCCUCCCAGCUUCAAGUGAUUCUCCUGCCUCAGCCUCCCAAGUAGCUGGGACUAAAGGCAUGUGCCACCACGCCCAGCUGAUUUUUGUAUUUUUGUGUAUAUAUAUAUAUAUAUAUAUAUAUAUUUUUUUUUUUUUUUUGGCAGAGUUGGGGUUUCACCAUGUUGGCCAGGCUGGUCUCAAACUCCUGACCUCAGGUGAUCCUCCCGCCUCGGCCUCCCAAAGUCCUGGGAUUACAGGUGUGAGCCACCGUGACCGGCCUAAUUUUUGUAUUUUUAAUAGAGAUGGGGUUUCACCAUGUUGGUCAGGCUGAUCUUGAACUCCUGACCUCAAGAUCCACCCAUCUCAGCCUCCCAAAGUGCUGGGAUUGCAAGCGUGAGCCACUCACUUGAGGUGAAAAGUUUGAGACCAACCUGGCCAACAUGGCAAAACCCAGUCUCUACCAAAAAUACAAGAAUUAGCUGGGCAUGAUAAUGGGUGUCUGUAAUCCCAGCUACCCAGGAGGCUGAGGCAGGAGAAUCACUGGAACCCAGGAGGCAGAGGUUGCAGUGAGCAGAGAUCGCACCACUGCGCUCCAGCCUGGGCAACAGAGCAAGACUCAGUCUCAAAAAAAAAUAAAGAAAAGAAAAGGAAAAGAAAAGCAAAAAAGAAAAAGGUGUUUGCAUGUUUCUGAUCACAGAGGCCCUGAAGAUGGGUCUGCUGGCCUUUUGCUAUUCUCAGAAACCUGCUUGGUGUUUGGUAGGAGGGUUGAGAAGGGGCCAAGAGCUGACCUUCCUCGCCCUGCAGCUGCACACGGGGGUGGCUGUUCUGUGUUCAGUGAGGCGUCAGACUCCAGACCUGUGAGCCUUCACAUGUUUUCCUCCCCUUCUCUGGCCAGGCGCUGGUUGGCCCACGUGCCCUUAGCUUUCAGAGCAUCCAGCUCUGCCAACCUUGCAGGAAGAUCUGGGGGUAGGGGGCUCAGGGGAGAAUCUUUAUUGCGGCCAUUCAUUCUGCGACCACAUAGGACUGGUGGAGCAGGAGCCAGUGCCCAGUUGGCCCUGAUGAAAACCUUAAUAGAGAUACGUAGCCCAGCUCUGGUUGGGCACAGUGGCUCUCAUGCCUGUAAUCCCAGCAGUUUGGGAGGCUGAGGCGGGUGGAUCGAUUGAGCCCAGGAAUACAAGACCGCCCUGGGCAACAUGACGAGAUGCCCCUCUUUUAUUUUAUUUGAUUUAUUAUUAUUAUUAUUAUUUUUGAGACGGAGUUUCACUCUUGUUGCCCAGGCUGGAGUGCAACGGCACGAUCUCGGCUCACUGCAACCUCCACCUCCUGGAUUCAAGCGAUUUUCCUGCCACAACCUCCUGAGUAGCUGGGAUUAGAGGCAUGUGGCACCACAAUCAGCUAAUUUUUGUAAUUUUAGUAGAAAUGGGGUUUCACCAUGUUGGCCAGGCUGGUCUGGAACUCCUGACCUUAGGUGAUCNNNNNNNNNNAUUCGCCUGUAUCCACAUUUUGGGAAGCUGAGGAAGGCAUGUCUCUUGAGGCCAGGAGUUCAAGACCAGCCUGGCUAACAUAGCAAAACCUCAUCUCUACUAAAAAUACAAAAAAUUUAGCUGGGCGUGGUGGCAUGUGCUUGUCGUCCCAGCUACUCAGGAGGCUGAGAUCGUGCCACUGUACUUCAGCCUGGGCAACAGAGUGAGACCCUGUUUCCCCCAAAAAAGAGAUUGAGAGAAUAGGAACUGGAAUGUUUGGAGAACUCUAUGUGGAAAAUGCAAUCCUGAAUCAUGUAUUAAAAAUAAGGAGAGGCCAGGUGCAGUGGCUCACGCCUGUAAUCCCAGCACUUUGGGAGGCCAAGGCAGGUGGAUCACAAGGUCAGGAGUUCGAGAUCAGCCUGGCCAACAUGGUGAAACCCCAUCUAUAUGGAAUCUCUGAUUUAUUCUCUAUAACUGCAUACAAAUCUACAAUUAUCUCAAAAUUUAAUACAUAAAUUAUUGGGUCUGCAAUAUUCCUAUUUCAUACCCAGCUUUCAGACGGCUGUCUUUUGGCCAACUAAGG
rnacentral:lncRNA from 1 species